rnacentral:rRNA from 1 species
CACGUAGGGCGCAAGCGUUGUCCGGAAUUAUUGGGCGUAAAGAGCUUGUAGGCGGUUUGUCGCGUCUGCUGUGAAAACUCGGGGCUCAACUCCGAGCUUGCAGUCGAUACGGGCAGGCUAGAGUUCGGUAGGAGAGACUGGAAUUCCUGGUGUAGCGGUGAAAUGCGCAGAUAUCAGGAGGAACACCGGUGGCGAAGGCGGGUCUCUGGGCCGAUACUGACGCUGAGGAGCGAAAGCGUGGGGAGCGAACAGG